rnacentral:rRNA from 1 species
AGAGUUUGAUCAUGGCUCAGGAUGAACCUAGCGGCAGGCUUAACACAUGCAAGUCGAGGGGUAGAGUUCUUCGGAGCUUGAGACCGGCGCACGGGUGCGUAACGCGUAUGCAAUCUACCUUUUACAGAGGGAUAGCCCAGAGAAAUUUGGAUUAAUACCUCAUAGUAUGCAGAGUUGGCAUCAACACUGCAUUAAAGUCACAACGGUAAAAGAUGAGCAUGCGUCCCAUUAGCUAGUUGGUAAGGUAACGGCUUACCAAGGCUACGAUGGGUAGGGGUCCUGAGAGGGAGAUCCCCCACACUGGUACUGAGACACGGACCAGACUCCUACGGGAGGCAGCAGUGAGGAAUAUUGGAUAAUGGGCGCAAGCCUGAUCCAGCCAUGCCGCGUGCAGGAUGACGGUCCUAUGGAUUGUAAACUGCUUUUAUACGAGAAGAAACACUCCGACGUGUCGGAGCUUGACGGUAUCGUAAGAAUAAGGAUCGGCUAACUCCGUGCCAGCAGCCGCGGUAAUACGGAGGAUCCAAGCGUUAUCCGGAAUCAUUGGGCUUAAAGGGUCCGUAGGCGGUUUAAUAAGUCAGUGGUGAAAGCCCAUCGCUCAACGGUGGAACGGCCAUUGAUACUGUUAAACUUGAAUUAUUAGGAAGUAACUAGAAUAUGUAGUGUAGCGGUGAAAUGCUUAGAGAUUACAUGGAAUACCAAUUGCGAAGGCAGGUUACUACUAAUGGAUUGACGCUGAUGGACGAAAGCGUGGGUAGCGAACAGGAUUAGAUACCCUAGUAGUCC